rnacentral:rRNA from 1 species
UACGUAGGCAGCAAGCGUUGUUCGGAAUUACUGGGCGUAAAGAGUGUGUAGGCGGUGUCGUAAGUUCGGUGUGAAAUCUCCCGGCUUAACUGGGAGGGUGCGCCGAAGACUGCGAUGCUCGAGGAUGGGAGAGGAAAGCGGAAUUCCUGGUGUAGCGGUGAAAUGCGUAGAUAUCAGGAGGAACACCUGCGGUGUAGACGGCUUUCUGGACCACCCCUGACGCUGAGACACGAAAGCGUGGGUAGCAAACAGG